UCUUAAUUCGCAGGAUGGGAAAGCAGGAUGGACCUGGUGGAGAAGGUGGCUGUGAAAUCAACCCCUAGCGCAGUUCCCAGCUGUCGAGGGGCUGGAAAAACUGCGACCCAGUUCUUUACACGAUGCUUGCAGACGGACGGAUUCAUCCCGAUACUCUACCAGGCAUGGGGUCCUCAGUCCUACAGACACGGGAAAUGAAUUCUGCAAACAGCGUGAGUGAGUUCAAAGCAACUCCAUGAGGCAUGCAUUUUUUUGAACUGCAAUUGUCUGCAUUCUCUCUCUCCUGCUCACCUUGGUAGGUGUCCAGGACCCACACCUGCUUUAUAGAGUGAUGAAAUGUAACCACCUGUGCCUGGCAACAAGGAUGUGCUCGUUGAAAAAGAAACCCAAUGAGAGCACAAAUUUACUAAACAACAGCUGUGUGAGAACCCCGGCCAGGUGGGCCACCUGGGAGGAGAGCAACCUUUCACACCUGAGAACUCAAACAAGUCAGGACCCACCUUCUUCAAAACCUGAGGGAACUGAGAGGGAGGUGGAUUUCAGCCAGGGUCUCGGGGUGGAAGUUUAUGGAAUUAACCCAAAGGGACAGGGAGAUAGGAAACAGUGGAAACUAAGUUUGCACUUGUGCCAAACUCAUGUGACUCUUGGAACCUGAAAUACCAUUUUCCUGGUGAGGAAGCUGUGGCCUGGAGAAAUUAACUGACUGACUUUGAAGUCACAAAACUGGUGAACUUGGAUCUCUGAGAUUUCUUUGAAUGGAUUCAAAGCGGUUGUGGAUUGAACUAUUAUAUUAGAACCGGCAGUACGAUUUGGUGCCUUGGAUUUGAAGGGGACAAGUUAUUUCCAGGUAUUUCCUAUUAAAAUGGGACUCUUUUGCUCUCAGAGUUUUGGCAGAGGCCCCAAGUCUGAGAACCAAAUAUUCCAGCAUCUCCGAGAGGAGCAUUGGACCACUUAUGCAGGAUAUGCUUAAAGGCUACGACUUCUGUUCUACUGGCAUUCCUCCAUGGACCACCUCCAAGCUAUAUAAUAGAAGUGACAAGAGACACCAGGAUUGAGAGUAUCUUUGGAGAGAGCAGUCAGCAGGGAGAUGCAGGGUCGGGGAGGGAUUAUUUCUGCCAUUUCAGAGCAACGAAGGGGAUCUGUGAGAGAAGCUGAGAGAAGUUGUCAUGUGUCCCUGGAGUGUGAGGGCACAUCUAAAAAGUCUGCAGAGGACAGAUGGUCUCUAGCUUGCUGCUGUGGAGCCAUGGAGUAGAGAGUUCUCGGUCAUGAGCUAUGCUUCCAGAGUUUGGUGGGGCAAGGGUUUUCCCUUGGUCAGAUAAGGACCUGCGGAAGGGCCCAGACUGGGCCAUUUUAUAAGGGACUCUAUCCAAGAAGACUGCCUGGAGGGGAGGGGAAAGGUGACCCCCAACAGAUGGGUGUGACUUACCUGAUCCACAGGACAGGGGUCCAGCUGCUGUCUUUGGGAGACACUUACCUAUGGGAAAUCCUCGAAGAAUCCAUAAGAUGCUUCAGAAAAGAGAAUUGGCACUUAAUUUCUGUACCCUGAAAGGACAGUGAUGCCACAUGAUAACUCACCAAUCAAAUAAGGCCUUUCGUCCGCUUUCCCUUUCCUCCCUCCCAGGCUCCAACCCCGGAAGGGGCAAAACCCGGAUGUCAGACUGGUUGAUGAGGUGGAACAAGCAAGAAGGGAGUACCGGCUUUCCCUCCGGUGACCGGUAAUGUCCUGGAGUGGGGUGGGCCAGAGUGGGGAGAUGGGAGAAACUUAAAAUUCUAAAAUAAAUUUUAGAGUUUUGAUCAUAUACUGGGUUCUGAACGCAAUCAAUGUGUUUGUUGAUGUUGUUGUCGUUGUAGUUGUUUUUUAUUCAAAAGUGACUGGAAAAGCCAUGACAUGUUCUGGAGGUUUUAUGCAGGCGCAGGGAAGUACGAAUUGAGAGGACUGGUUUCAGGGGUUGGUGGUGGGGAAGAACAGUGUUGCUCUGUUUCUACCUUUUCCAGUUUCACUUUUUUUGACUGAGCCAGUUCUGUGUUAAAUACAACGUUGUCAUCUGCAGAGAAGCAUGUGUGUGUUCCGGAUCCCAUCCCUUCUCGUCUCCUCAAGGACAUCGUCAACCCUGCAGUUGCCUCCUUCCUCUUGUGCAUCACUGACUUCUUCGUCUCCACUGGACCUUUCUGACCAGCCUAUAAAAAUGACUUACUGUAACCUGUCUUUAAAACAACAACAACAAUAACAAAACAACAACAACAACAACAACAACAACAACAAAAAGACCCCAUAUCGCCUUUAGCGAUUGCUCUGUUUGGUUUCCCUUCACUGAGAAAUUCUUUGAAAGAGUUAGCUAACUUCAUGGUCUGUGUUUCAUCUUUCAUUCUCUCCUCAGCCCGCUCCAAAGGGCUUUCAUCUCCGCCACACUACUGAAGAAACAGGCUCUUAACAGGAUCAGCAGUGCUCUUUCUGCAUCGUGUUUGGUUUCUCAGCGGGCACUUGAUGUGGUUGACCAGUUCCUCCUUCUUGAGCCAUGGUCUUCUCUAGGCUUCUGUGUCUCAUACUGAUCUGGGCUCUUCCUGCUCUACUGGCCGUUCCUCAUUUGCUUAGCGGUCCCUCCUCCACCAGCCCCUGUCCUUGGCUUCUGGUCUCUGUCCAGAUUCCCUUCCUAAACCACGUUAAUCCAGUCCUGGGGCUUUAUCGGACAGUGCAGCUAUACAACAUUUCCAUCCCUGCAGAAAGUUUUAAUUGCCAAUAGUGGUCUAAAGGAAGAAAACAAAAUAUUAUUAAGUGAAGCAGACUUGAAUCAGUCUCAAAAAGGGAAAACACAGGAGCACGCGUGCGUGCAUGAAAAGUCGAAAGAUACAGGGCGCUUCAGGAGCAGCCCAACUGAGGGCUUACCCAACGUCCCCAGGGUCCCUCUCUCUGCUCCCCAUUCUCUGAGCUGGCUCCAUUUCCCCCUCUUCCGGUUGACUCCUCGUUCCCACACCAGCAGCAUUAAGCGCAUAGUGUCAUAAAACUCAGGUAAGCUCGUGUCCUUCAAAAGCAAUAUAUUGAUUUCUGCUUAGUAAUAUUUCCUUUCUUCUAUUUUCUUUGGAUUUGGCUUGUCUGAAGUGGAAAUUAGUUUUAUUGUCUUCCAAUCUCCACCCCCACCCCCACCAUAUAUGCUAUGCAUUUGGAACUACAAAUUUCCGUUUUGGCAUCACUAUUUAAAGUCACUUUCAUUAUCAUUCAUGUUUGUAGUAUUUUCUAAUUUUAUUUGAUGUUUUGAUCCUUGAGUUAUUUAGAAGUGUAUUACAUAAAUUCCAAAUAUUUGGGGGAAUUUCUAGUUAUGAUUUUCUAGUGUUGAUUUACAUUUUAAUGCCAUUGUAGUCAGAGAACGUAUUCCAUAUGUUUUGAAUCAUUUGAAAAUAAAAAUUAAGACUUCCCUUAAGGCCAGCAUAGAGUGUAUUUUGUUAAUGUCUAUCAACAUAAUGACAUCAGCUCUCUUUUGGUUGGUGUCUACAUGAUGUGUUUUUUACCAUCCUUUCACUCUUGCCCUCUUUGCGUCUCUAUAUUUAAAGUGAUUCUGUUAUUGACAGCAUAUAGUUGGGGUUUUAAAAAAAUUUAUUCAACCUAAUAAUCUUUUAAAAAUGUUUUUGAUUGGCUCCUUUAUAGUAAACGGAAUAAAUGAUAUAGCUGGGUUUAAGUUCGCCACCUUACUAUUUAUUUUUUAUUUGUUUAUCUGUUCUUUGUUAGUUUAGUCUUCCUUUUGGAUUAAUCAAGUGUAUUUUAUUAUUUCAUUUCUCUAGUCCAUUAAUAGAUGGUUCAUUAUACAUUGCAGUUUUCUUUUACAAUUUCUUUAGAGAUUAUAAUAUGUAUCCUUGAUUUAAUACUCCAUGCUAACUUUUGUGCUGUUGUUGUCAUAUUUUAUAUAUAUGUUAUAAAUUCCAUAAGACACUGUUAUUAAUAAUUACAUGAAACAGUCAGUAGUAUUUUAUGUUUACCUACAUAUUUAUACUUUCUGAUGCUCUUCAUUACUUCCUUCAUUUCCAGAUGAUCAUUUCCUCUCAUUGUUUUGGUAGUGUUUGUCUUCUGGUCAAAACUCUCAUUUUAAUUUUUCUGAAAACUUCUUUAUUUUGCUUUUGUUUUUCAAUGAUUUUUUU